rnacentral:rRNA from 1 species
CAGUAGCCGCGGUAAUACGUAGGGCGCAAGCGUUGUCCGGAAUUAUGGGCGUAAAGAGCUCGUAGGCGGUCUGUCGCGUCUGGUGUGAAAUCCCGAGGCUCAACCUCGGGCUUGCAUCGGGUACGGGCAGACUAGAGUGCGGUAGGGGAGACUGGAAUUCCUGGUGUAGCGGUGGAAUGCGCAGAUAUCAGGAGGAACACCGAUGGCGAAGGCAGGUCUCUGGGCCGCAACUGACGCUGAGGAGCGAAAGCAUGGGGAGCGAACAGGAUUAGAUACCCGAGUAGUCCCUGUCUCUUAUACA